CAUGGCGACAUGGAAUCUGAAGGAAGCUGGAGGCAAAAUCCUGAACCGACGAACAGAAAUCACAUUAGGCCGAAGUAGAGCGGACGAGUUUGCAUAACAAAACGAAGUCCAAUACUACCCGAACUCUACACGGUAGAUGUGGCGGUUACAUGGGAGGAAGGUUGUU
rnacentral:ncRNA from 1 species